AAAAUUGACACCGUAACUUCGGGAGAAGGUGUGCCGCUGGCGGUUAGUGACUUCGCGUCACGAAGCUGUCGGUGGUCGCAGUGAAAUGGCGGUUGUGACUGUUUACUAAAAACACAGGACUCUGCGAAGUCGUAAGACGACGUAUAGGGUCUGAUGCCUGCCCGGUGCUGGAAGGUUAAGGGGAUAUGUCAGCGCAAGCGAAGCAUUGAACCGAAGCCCCAGUAAACGGCGGCCGUAACAAUAACGGUCCUAAGGUAGCGAAAUUCCUUGUCGGGUAAGUUCCGACCUGCACGAGGGCAUAACAACAUCCGCACUGUCUCGACCAGGGACUCAGCGAAAUUACAUUGGGGGUGAAGAUGCCCUCUACCCGCGGAAAGACGGAAAGACCCCAUGAACCUUUACUGCAACUUGGCAGUGAUUUUCGGGUUGUUCUGCGUAGGAUAGGUGGGAGGCUUUGAAGCCGGGCUUCCGGGUUCGGCAGAGCCAACGUUGAAAUACCACCCUGAAUAAUCUGGGAAUCUAACCUGCGCCCAUGAUCUGGGCGAGGGACACUGCCUGGUGGGCAGUUUGACUGGGGCGGUCGCCUCCUAAAUUGUAACGGAGGCGUGCGACGGUUCCCUCAGGCUGAUUGGAAACCAGCCGUAGAGUGCAAACGCAUAAGGGAGCUUUACUGCGAGACUGACAAGUCGAACAGUUGCGAAAGCAGGUGUUAGUGAUCCGGUGGUACCACAUGGAAGGGCCAUCGCUCAUCGGAUAAAAGGUACUCUGGGGAUAACAGGCUGAUCGCGCCUGAGAGUUCACAUCGGCGGCGCGGUUUGGCACCUCGAUGUCGGCUCAUCGCAUCCUGGGGCUGGAGCAGGUCCCAAGGGUUUGGCUGUUCGCCAAUUAAAGCGGUACGCGAGCUGGGUUUAAAACGUCGUGAGACAGUUUGGUCCCUAUCUUCCGUGGGCGCAGGACACUUGAGAGGAGCUAUCCAUAGUACGAGAGGACCUGGAUGGACGAACCUCUGGUGCUCCGGUUGUCACGCCAGUGGCAUAGCCGGGUAGCCAUGUUCGGAACAGAUAACCGCUGAAGGCAUAUAAGCGGGAAGCUGGCCUCAAGACUAGGUGUCCCUGACGCAAGUCACUAAAGGCCCCUCGAAGACUACGAGGUUGACAGGCUCGGUGUGGAAGCGCUGCGAGGCGUGGAGCUAACGAGUACUAAUAGGCCGUGCGACUUGACCUC
rnacentral:rRNA from 1 species